CCUACGGGAGGCAGCAGUGAGGAAUAUUGGUCAAUGGACGAGAGUCUGAACCAGCCAAGUAGCGUGAAGGAUGACUGCCCUAUGGGUUGUAAACUUCUUUUAUAUGGGAAUAAAAUGUUCCACGUGUGGGAUUUUGUAUGUACAAUAUGAAUAAGGAUCGGCUAACUCCGUGCCAGCAGCCGCGGUAAUACGGAGGAUCCGAGCGUUAUCCGGAUUUAUUGGGUUUAAAGGGAGCGUAGGUGGAUUGUUAAGUCAGUUGUGAAAGUUUGCGGCUCAACCGUAAAAUUGCAGUUGAAACUGGCAGUCUUGAGUACAGUAGAAGUGGGCGGAAUUCGUGGUGUAGCGGUGAAAUGCUUAGAUAUCACGAAGAACUCCGAUUGCGAAGGCAGUUCACUGGACUGCAACUGACACUGAGGCUCGAAAGUGUGGGUAUCAAACAGGAUUAGAUACCCCUGUAGUC
rnacentral:rRNA from 1 species